ACAUAAUCAUAUUCAGGUUGAUAUUACAUGUACCUUUCAGUAACUUUUCACGUUUACAUAUACUAGAGAUUUCCAGUUUGUUUUGAGUAUCAGAUGAGAUGUACAUUUCAUAACAAUCCGACAAAUUUUCACAAUCCAUUUCUCUUUUCAUUUUUCCAGAUUUCCCAUGGUGUGUGCACAAUUUCAUGAUGGAAAAACCACAAAGUCUAUUACAGUGUUGGCAGUAUCCCAGUCAUUGAUCCCUGCUUGUUGACUGCCAAGCAAGAAUGGUCACAGCUAGGAUGACGUGUACGUCGGCAAGCCAAAGACAGAGACAAGUGGGGCAAUGCACAGGGGCAGUUUGAACUAGCGGGUACGGAGAGUUAGAUACAUGGGUGCUCUGACCUUCCACACCUACCCAGUCACACUGCGCAAGUCAGGGAACAGUCACGGCGUCAUCUAGCAGUCGCUAGAAAAUUCAGUUGUCGGAGUUUUAUUUCAUAAUCUCUAUCCAUAACUUGAAAAGAA